rnacentral:rRNA from 1 species
CAUGCAAGUCGAGCGCGCCCUUCGGGGUGAGCGGCGGACGGGUGAGUAACGCGUGGGAAUAUGCCCUUCUCUAAGGAAUAGCCUCUGGAAACGGAGAGUAAUACCUUAUACGCCCUUUGGGGGAAAGAUUUAUCGGAGAAGGAUUAGCCCGCGUUAGAUUAGGUAGUUGGUGGGGUAAUGGCCUACCAAGCCUACGAUCUAUAGCUGGUUUGAGAGGAUGAUCAGCCACACUGGGACUGAGACACGGCCCAGACUCCUACGGGAGGCAGCAGUAGGGAAUCUUAGACAAUGGGGGCAACCCUGAUCUAGCCAUGCCGCGUGUGUGAUGAAGGCCCUAGGGUCGUAAAGCACUUUCGCCAGAGAUGAUAAUGACAGUAUCUGGUAAAGAAACCCCGGCUAACUCCGUGCCAGCAGCCGCGGUAAUACGGAGGGGGUUAGCGUUGUUCGGAAUUACUGGGCGUAAAGCGCACGUAGGCGGAUUAGUAAGUAGAGGUGAAAUCCCAGGGCUCAACCCUGGAACUGCCUUUAAUACUGCUAGUCUUGAGUUCGAGAGAGGUAAGUGGAAUUCCGAGUGUAGAGGUGAAAUUCGUAGAUAUUCGGAGGAACACCAGUGGCGAAGGCGGCUUACUGGCUCGAUACUGACGCUGAGGUGCGAAAGUGUGGGGAGCAAACAGGAUUAGAUACCCUGGUAGUCCACACCGUAAACGAUGAAUGCCAGACGUCAGCAAGUAUACUUGCUGGUGUCACGCCUAACGGAUUAAGCAUUCCGCCUGGGGAGUACGGUCGCAAGAUUAAA